GACGAACGCUGGCGGCGUGCUUAACACAUGCAAGUCGAACGGAAAGGCCCUGCUUUUGUGGGGUGCUCGAUUGGCGAACGGGUGAGUAACACGUGUGUAACCUGCCCUUGACUUUGGGAUAACUUCAGGAAACUUGUGCUAAUACCGGAUAUGAGCUCCUGCUGCAUGGUGGGGGUUGGAAAGUUUCGGCGGUUGGGGAUGGACUCGCGGCUUAUCUGCUUGUUGGUGGGGUAGUUGCUUACCAAGGCUUUGACGGGUAGCCGGCCUGUGAGGGUGACCGGCAAAAUGGGGAAUGAGAGAGGGACCAGAAGACAACGGGAGGAAGAAGGGGGGAAGAUGGAAGAAGGGGAGGAAGCAGGAGGAAGAAAGGCGGGGGGGGGGAAGACGGCCAAGGGGUGGAAAACAGAUUUGGAAGGAGAAGAAGAGGGAGUGAAGGUAAUGGGUAAAGAAGCACCGGCUAACUACGUG
rnacentral:rRNA from 1 species